CAUUAAUGUCUAAACUGUUGGCAACGAAAGUGAGUAAACCCCUAAGUGGAAAUGUCCAAAUUGGGCCCAAAGUGUUAAUAUUUUGUGGGGCCACCAUUAUUUUCCAGCACUGCCUUAAUCCUCAUGGGCAUGGAGUUCAUUACAGUCUCUAGGGGUGCAGUACGGCUUUUGGGAAGACCAAGCAGGAGAGGGUUACAAUAAUCCAUGCAGGAAAUUAUUAGAGCAUGGACAAGCUCCUUGGUAGUAUCUGGUGCAAGAAUGGGGCGGAUGUGGGCUAUGUUUUUAAGAUGGAAUCUACAGGAUUUGGC